UACGUAGGGGGCAAGCGUUGUCCGGAAUCAUUGGGCGUAAAGAGCGCGUAGGCGGCCCGGUAAGUCCGCUGUGAAAGUCAAAGGCUCAACCUUUGAAUGUCAGCGGAUACUGCCGGGCUAGAGUCCGGAAGAGGAGAGUGGAAUUCCUGGUGUAGCGGUGAAAUGCGCAGAUAUCAGGAGGAACACCCGUGGCGAAAGCGGCUCUCUGGGACGGUACUGACGCUGAGACGCGAAAGCGUGGGGAGCAAACAGG
rnacentral:rRNA from 1 species